AUUGAACGCUGGCGGCAUGCUUUACACAUGCAAGUCGAACGGUAACAGGCCGCAAGGUGCUGACGAGUGGCGAACGGGUGAGUAAUGCAUCGGAACGUGCCCAGUCGUGGGGGAUAACGCAGCGAAAGCUGCGCUAAUACCGCAUACGAUCUAUGGAUGAAAGCGGGGGACCGUAAGGCCUCGCGCGAUUGGAGCGGCCGAUGUCAGAUUAGGUAGUUGGUGGGGUAAAGGCUCACCAAGCCAACGAUCUGUAGCUGGUCUGAGAGGACGACCAGCCACACUGGGACUGAGACACGGCCCAGACUCCUACGGGAGGCAGCAGUGGGGAAUUUUGGACAAUGGGCGCAAGCCUGAUCCAGCAAUGCCGCGUGCAGGAAGAAGGCCUUCGGGUUGUAAACUGCUUUUGUACGGAACGAAACGGCUCUGGUUAAUACCUGGGGCUAAUGACGGUACCGUAAGAAUAAGCACCGGCUAACUACGUGCCAGCAGCCGCCGCGGUAA
rnacentral:rRNA from 1 species